rnacentral:rRNA from 1 species
AUGCGCGUGAAUGGUCCGCCGAACACAAUACCGCCUCUGGUCCUAAUAUAUAUAUACAGCUACCGGCUGCGGCCAGAGACACACCGAAAAACACGUAGGGUUUUGCCUCAUCUCACAACUUGCGCCGCCAUCGUAGUCUACUCCAUCCCAAACGCCGGCGUGCAUCGGCGCGUGGGAGAGCAGGUCUCCGGAACCGUUCGUCUUUGCGAUCCUGCACCGGGAGAGGACGAAUUAGGUUUUUGGGAAGCGCUGCUCAAAUUCGUCAUCACGGGUCGUCUUCCGUCCAAGUCGGGCGGUGCUACUCAUCGUCGUAUUCAUCGCCGUCAGCAGCAGAUCGUCGCCAACAUCGUCAUCAACACUGUCGCACCCAUAAUAGCUAACGAUCAGUACGUCCAACAUCCUCUGUUCAUGUGUGUUUCUACAGCUAUUGCUACGUGUUUGCUGCUGUUAUGUUCGUGGAGACAGAGAUAUCGCAUGUCUUACUUUACUGGAAUACAUACAAAUUUCGGCAUUUCGUCUUGUUUCUCUAUCCAGCUCUUCCAGGAGAGGAUUAGUUUGGCAGGAAUCGUGUACGUCAAUAAUACGUACGUACACCCAUCUCAGUUUAGUUUGCUGCGACCAUGUAUCGGUGGAUCCCUUGAAGCUGAAGAGACGACUGAACUAAUCAUUGUGCAUCUCAAGUUGUGGAAUAAUUACUUGAUUGUACGUGCAAUAGAACGCCAAAACACAUUUGACUGUACGUGCUGUCAUACUGGAAUGUACCGUGUACAACCUACCAUAGAACGCCAAAAGAAGUGUAUACGUACUACUCUUUGGACCUUGCAGGCGUUCAUCAAUUUCUCCUUUCAGAUCAAUAGUAGCGGCCCCAUGGCCUCCCUUCGUAGGGGCGAUGUAUAA